AGCCUCGACAGCAACCCGAGAUCGCUUCUUUGAUUGCUCGAUAAGAUUUUCUUCUCCUCCGACCAGCUUCGUUUAUCACUCCAUCCAUAGAGCGAGACGAAGGGGAAGAGGCGUCCUCCUGAACCGCAACAAUGAGGACCCUCAAACUUCUUCUCCUGGAUCUCUUGGUUCUUCUUCUGUUGUUGCCCCCUUCAUCACCUUCUCCUUCUCGUCCUCUUGGGAAGGCAGCGAUGAAGGAACUGCUGAGAAGACUGGACGGCAAGAGAGCAUCUCCUUCAAUUCAGGAGGCCGCCGCGUGGGGAGUUCUCAAGAGACUGCUCCCCAACCACACCUCCAGCUUCGGCUUCGAGAUCGCCCCCAAGGGCAUUUGUGAGGAAUUCGGUUGCUUUCGGAUAAGUAGUAUCGAGAAUUCAAGUUACGGUGGACCGGAGAUAUUAAUUCAAGGUACUACAGCAGUUGAGAUUUCAUCUGGCCUUCACUGGUAUUUAAAGUACUGGUGUGGGGCUCAUAUUUCAUGGGAUAAGACUGGUGGCAAUCAAGUCGCUUCAGUUCCUCCACCUGGGUCGCUUCCAAGGGUAGAAGGCCAAGGGGUGAAACUUGAACGUCCUGUUCCGUGGAAUUAUUACCAAAAUGUUGUAACUUCCAGUUACUCUUUUGUAUGGUGGGAUUGGAAAAGAUGGGAGAAAGAAAUUGACUGGAUGGCUCUUCAAGGGGUGAACUUGCCUUUGGCAUUUACAGGGCAAGAAUCCAUAUGGCAAAAGGUUUUCCAGGACUUUAAUGUUAGCAUUAAAGAUUUGCAUGAUUUUUUUGGUGGGCCAGCCUUCCUAGCUUGGGCUCGAAUGGGAAACCUACACGGGUGGGGUGGACCACUUACACAAAAUUGGUUGGACCAACAACUGAGACUACAAAAACACAUCCUAUCUCGUAUGAUUGAGCUUGGAAUGACUCCUGUGCUACCAUCAUUCUCUGGGAAUGUGCCGGCUGUAUUCAGAAAAAUAUUUCCGUCAGCAAAUAUAACCAGACUUGGAGAUUGGAACACUGUCAAUGGUAAUCCUCGCUGGUGUUGUACAUAUCUUCUUGGUCCAUCAGAUCCUUUAUUUGUUGAAGUGGGGGAGGCAUUUAUUAAACAACAAGUGAAAGAAUAUGGAGAUAUAACUGACAUCUACAAUUGUGACACUUUCAAUGAAAAUUCUCCACCUACAAAUGAUCCGGCAUAUAUCUCAGCUCUUGGAGCUGCUAUUUACAAGGCCAUGUUGAAAGGUGACAAGGAUGCCAUAUGGUUGAUGCAGGGUUGGCUAUUCUCAUCAGAUGCAGCAUUUUGGAAGCCACCUCAAAUGAGAGCACUUCUGCACUCAGUUCCUAUUGGAAAGAUGAUAGUGCUGGAUUUAUUUGCCGACGUCAAACCCAUAUGGAAAACAUCUUCCCAGUUCUAUGGUGUUCCGUACAUCUGGUGCAUGUUACAUAACUUCGGUGGAAACAUUGAAAUGUAUGGCAUACUAGAUGCAAUUUCCUCCGGCCCUAUUGAUGCUCGCGACAGCCAAAAUUCAACCAUGGUGGGUGUUGGCUUGUGCAUGGAAGGAAUAGAACAGAAUCCAGUUGUCUAUGAGCUUAUGUCUGAAAUGGCAUUUCGGAGUCAGAAAAUUGAACCUGAGGACUGGUUAAAGAGCUACUCUUAUAGGCGUUAUGGUCAGGCAAUUCCCCAAAUCGAAGCAGCAUGGGAAGUUUUAUAUCACACAAUAUACAAUUGCACGGAUGGAUUUGCAGACCAUAACAAAGACUACAUAGUUGAGUUCCCAGACUCCAGUCCGUUUCUAACGGGUUCUCAACUUUCUAAAGAAGGAUGGAUACAAAAGCUCCCAACAUUGGAGAAAAAUCAUAGGUUCUCCUUCAGGGAGACCAACACUAAUGUGGCACAUCCACAUUUAUGGUAUUCAAAUGAAGAAGCAAUCAAGGCCCUCAAGUUAUUUCUUAUUGCAGGAAAUGAUCUUGUGGGAAGUCUUACAUAUAGAUAUGAUCUUGUUGACCUUACAAGGCAAGUACUAUCAAAAUUAGCAAAUCAGGUAUAUUUAGAUGUGAUGGCUGCCUACCACAGCAAUAAUACCAGCAGAUUAACUCUUUAUAGCCAAAAAUUUUUGGAGCUCAUUGAGGAUAUUGACACACUUCUGGCUUCUGAUGACAAUUUUCUACUGGGAACAUGGUUAGAAAGUGCGAAAAAGCUAGCACUAAGUAAGAGAGAAAGAAAGCAGUAUGAGUGGAAUGCAAGAACGCAAGUGACAAUGUGGUAUGAUAACACAAAGACCAAUCAGAGUAAACUUCAUGACUAUGCUAACAAAUUUUGGAGCGGGCUGUUGAAGGGGUAUUACCUGCCGAGAGCUUCAACUUAUUUCAGUUAUUUGUCGAGAAGUUUGGAAGGGAACGAGUACUUUCCAUUAGAGGAGUGGAGAAAGGAUUGGAUAUUGUAUUCUAACAAAUGGCAGGUAUGCAAUCUCUUUCCAAGCAGCGGACUUGAAAGUUAAAAAUCUUACCACUGAGGUGGUAACUCACUCAGUAGAACUGAGCCUUCCAACCAAACGGUUCCGAGUUCGAAACACACGGGCGUCGAUUAAAUUAUGGAGACCAGAUGCUCUCUGCUCGGACGGACUUAUUGGUCUGCUGGUAGCCUCGGUGGUACUAGAUGUGACGUACUUACACGGAGGAUAACCGUGUCGGAGCUCAGAGGGGUAACGAGUCGGACUCACGGAUGGAAAGAGUAUGAGUAAAACCGGCCGAUGUGUCCAACACACGGUCAUUUCUGCCCACAUUGAACGGGAUGAAAGCCUAGUGGGGGCUGCUAUGCGGGGAUGCUUGUCUCUUCCUUCCCCCUUCCUUUUUUUUUUUAGCCAAAAAAAAAAAAGUUAAACCUUUUAAUUAAUGAGUUCGAAAAUGAAGGUUGAUUACCAAAUAGAGGCAUUCACCUUUUCCCCUUCUUUUCCUGUUGAAAGGUCAAGUCACUCAUUAAUGAGAAAUCAAACAACAUGCAUCAAGUUGCAGCGUACAUCCUUGCUGCAGGGCAGUCUUACAAACUGUCGGGAUAUCAGUAGUACAAAGGAGAAACAAAAACAUGAAGCUCAUCAGGUCAAAGGAAGAGGCAACAGAUUGCUGACUUCUGAGAUAAUAUGAUGAUCGGCUCCAUGUGGCCAAGACUCAAGCCAAACAAGCACACUAAUGGAAGAAUCGUCAAUGAGUGCCCCAAGUUGUUUCGCCAUAGCUUAUUGACUCCAUUCAUGUUGCAUUUUGAGGAGGGUAUAGUUCCCAUAAUGCCACUGUUGCAUCCUCAGAGCAGGAAGCCAUCAGCUUGCAGUCAGUUGAAAACAUCGCCGCAUUACACUGCAGAUCCAAGAAAGUCUCGCCAAUUAGAUUGACUUUCUAAUUAUCAUGACUCUAAAUUUGAUGUGGUAGGUGAUUAAUUAGAGGCUAUAUUUCAGGUCUGGAGUUCAUGGAGUCUGGCCUUAAAAAUGACUUGAAUCAGUCCAUAAACUGACGCUGAAGGAAAUACAAACUUCCAGA